UUCCUAGAGCGCUAUGCGGGUGCUCGAAUUUGGGAUAUCUUGGAAGGUUUCUCGGUUUUUAUGGGCGGAAAGCUUCCAUUUUGUCCCUGAUUCUAUCGCCACUUAUAAGCGAAUGCCCCG
rnacentral:precursor_RNA from 9 species